ACAAUGGAGAGUUUGAUCCUGGCUCAGGAUGAACGCUAGCUACAGGCUUAACACAUGCAAGUCGAGGGGAAACGGCAUUGAGUGCUUGCACUCUUUGGACGUCGACCGGCGCACGGGUGAGUAACGCGUAUCCAACCUUCCCAUUACUGUGGGAUAACCUGCCGAAAGGCAGACUAAUACCGCAUAGUCUUCGAUGACGGCAUCAGAUUUGAAGUAAAGAUUUAUCGGUAAUGGAUGGGGAUGCGUCUGAUUAGCUUGUUGGCGGGGUAACGGCCCACCAAGGCAACGAUCAGUAGGGGUUCUGAGAGGAAGGUCCCCCACAUUGGAACUGAGACACGGUCCAAACUCCUACGGGAGGCAGCAGUGAGGAAUAUUGGUCAAUGGACGGAAGUCUGAACCAGCCAAGUAGCGUGCAGGAUGACGGCCCUAUGGGUUGUAAACUGCUUUUGUAUGGGGAUAAAGUUAGGGACGUGUCCCUAUUUGCAGGUACCAUACGAAUAAGGACCGGCUAAUUCCGUGCCAGCAGCCGCGGUAAUACGGAAGGUCCAGGCGUUAUCCGGAUUUAUUGGGUUUAAAGCUGUCUCUUAUACACAUCUCCGAGCC
rnacentral:rRNA from 1 species